UGCAAACUUCCUAAUUCUAAGCAAAGCCAAGAUGAGCCUUUGAGAAGCAGAAAAGUGUUUGUGGGGCGCUGUACAGAGGACAUGACUGAGGAUGAGCUGCGGGAGUUCUUCUCUCAGUACGGGGAUGUGAUGGAUGUCUUCAUCCCCAAGCCAUUCAGGGCCUUUGCCUUUGUUACAUUUGCAGAUGAUCAGAUUGCGCAGUCUCUUUGUGGAGAGGACUUGAUCAUUAAAGGAAUCAGCGUUCAUAUAUCCAAUGCCGAACCUAAGCACAAUAGCAAUAGACAGUUAGAAAGAAGUGGAAGAUUUGGUGGUAAUCCAGGAAUACUGUCUACAUGCUUUCUCAUUCAAGAAUUCGUCAUCACGCAUCACAGGCCGCGUCUUUGACGGAGGACUUGAAGCAGAGUUCACCAGUGAGCUCAGGUGUCUCAAAGAAGGGUGGAAGUUCUAAUGUCUGUUAGCUACCCAUAAGAAUGCUGUUUGCUGCAGUUCUGUGUCCUGUGCUUGGAUGCUUUUUAUAAGAGUUGUCAUUGUUGGAAAUUCUUAAAUAAAACUGAUUUAAAUAA
rnacentral:lncRNA from 1 species